UAGUUGACAAGGCCUGGAAGGGUUUGUCAUCAAUAGUGUAGUUCAAAUGGGAAUUACAUGCCGUAGGAUAGGAUCGCUCCCGAUUAUGGUUGUUGGCGAGGUAAUGGCUCACCAAGCCUAUGAUCGGUACGGGCCGUGAGAGCGGGAGCCCGGGGAUGGGUACUGAGACAAGGACCCAGGCCUUACGAGGCGCAGCAGGCGCGAAACCUUUACAAUGCUCGAAAGUGUGAUAAGGUUACCCGGAGUGCUAAGAGAAAACUUUUAGCUGUUGUGGGGAGUAGGUAUCCCCACCAGAAAGGAGAGGGCAAGGCUGGUGCCAGCCGCCGCGGUAAAACCAGCUCUUCAAGUGAUCGGGACUUUUAUUGGGCUUAAAGCGUCCGUAGCCGGGUUGGUAAGUUCCUGGUAAAAUCUGGCCGCUUAACGGUCAGCAGGCUAGGAAUACUGCCUUCCUUGAGGGUGGGAAAGGUCUGAGGUACUCUGUGGGUAGCGGUGAAAUGUGAUAAUCCUCAGGGGACCACCAGUGGCGAAGGCGUCAGACUGGAACACGCCUGACGGUGAGGGACGAAAGCUAGGGGAGCGAACGGGAUCAGAUACCCCGGUAGUCCUAGCUGUAAACGAUGUGCGUUAGGUGUCGGUGGGGCUAGGAGCCGCACCGGUGCCGUAGAGAAAUCGUUAAACGCACCGCCUGGGAAGUACGCUCGCAAGAGUGAAACUUAAAGGAAUUGGCGGGGGAGCACCACAAGGGGUGAAGCCUGCGGUUCAAUUGGACCCAACGCCGGAAGCUUACCAGGGGCGACAGCAGUAUGAAGGUCAGGCUGACGACCUUACCAGACAAGCUGAGCGGAGGUGCAUGGCCGUCGCCAGUUCGUGCCGUGAGGUAUCCUGUUAAGUCAGGCAACGAACGAGACCCACACACUUAGUUACCAGCAACCGUCUUCGGAUGGGUUGGGAACGCUAGGUGAACCGCCGCCGUACAGACGGAGGAAGGGGUGGGCCACGGCAGGUCAGUAUGCCCCCAAUCCCCUGGGCCACACGCGGGCUGCAAUGGUGGGGACAAUGGGUUGCAACACCGAAAGGUGAAGCCAAUCUCGAAACCCCAUCUCAGUUGGGAUUGUCGGCUGCAACUCGCCGACAUGAACGUGGAAUCCCUAGUAAUCGUGUGUCAACAUCGCACGGUGAAUACGUCUCUGCUCCUUGCACACACCGCCCGUCGCUCCAUCCGAGUGUAGCGCAAUUGAAAACUAAUCCAUCGGGUAAGCUUGAGAUUGUGUUACGCGAGGAGGGAGAAGUCGUAACAAGGUA
rnacentral:rRNA from 1 species